UACUCCUACGGGAGGCAGCAGUGAGGAAUAUUGGUCAAUGGGCGGGAGCCUGAACCGGCCAAGUAGCGUGAAGGAUGACUGCCCUAUGGGUUGUAAACUUCUUUUGUUUGGGAAUAAAGUCAGGCACGUGUGCCUGUUUGUAUGUACCAUUCGAAUAAGCAUCGGCUAAUUCCGUGCCAGCAGCCGCGGUA
rnacentral:rRNA from 1 species